UAGGGAAUCUUCGGCAAUGGACGAAAGUCUGACCGAGCAACGCCGCGUGAGUGAAGAAGGUUUUCGGAUCGUAAAACUCUGUUGUUAGAGAAGAACAAGGACGUUAGUAACUGAACGUCCCCUGACGGUAUCUAACCAGAAAGCCACGGCUAACUACGUGCCAGCAGCCGCGGUAAUACGUAGGUGGCAAGCGUUGUCCGGAUUUAUUGGGCGUAAAGCGAGCGCAGGCGGUUUCUUAAGUCUGAUGUGAAAGCCCCCGGCUCAACCGGGGAGGGUAAUUGGAAACUGGGAGACUUGAGUGCAGAAGAGGAGAGUGGAAUUCCAUGUGUAGCGGUGAAAUGCGUAGAUAUAUGGAGGAACACCAGUGGCGAAGGCGGCUCUCUGGUAUGUAACUGACGCUGAGGCUCGAAAGCGUGGGGAGCAAACAGG
rnacentral:rRNA from 1 species